UUUUCCAGAUAAAAAUGGGAAAAAUGGGAUAAUAAUAAGUUUAUUGAUUUGGGAAAUGCCACAAAACCGGAUGUUUAUACGGUACACACAUCAUCAUCACCAUCAUCAUCAUCAUCAUCAUCAUCAUCAUCAUCAUCAUCAUCAUCAUCAUCAUCAUCAUCAUCAUCAACAACGAUCAUCAGAUGGCAGAUUGAAGGGAUCUUUGGACUAAGAAACGUGUGAAAUGUGUACGGGAUUAGACGGGUUCAGCAGCACCGGAAGGCUGGUGCAGAUUCCGAUUCCCGAUAGCCGAUUUCCCCACUUUUCCCAGCGCCCAAAUCCUAAGCAGCAAGUUGCCAAGUUGUCAAAACAUGCGGUUUUUGUGUUCGCGCAUCAAGUUGGGAAAAGGCCAAAAACAGAGAAACAUAGGAUACAGAGGGCUCGAUUUAUUUGUUCAAAAUGACUUUGCAAAUGAGAUUCGGAUUCGGAUACACAUAGGCCUGACCAAUGUGUCAAUAUUAUCAUGGGCCAGGGACUCAGACGUCGUCCAGGCGGCCGCCUAUGCAAACAGCAGAACAGACCUACAAAAAUUGAGCCUCGAACUACCUGCUGGGACAUCGCGGCUCAGUGUCCAUGUCGUAGGUGUGCAUAUUUCUGUUAAUUUCCAACACCUUCGGCACUCAAAUAUGUCGGGCUCGCAACGUGACCUGUGGCCUCUGGGCUGGAUUUGCUUUAUGAAUGGGUGUCCACAACCUGCCAAUGGCCACAUGUACUCAUAAUCGAUGUGAUUAGGCCGUGCCGUGCCGUGGACGUGGACCAUCUCAUGCCUAACCCUUGGGGAACCAUAGACGAGACGAGAGCGCAAUCAAUAGUUCUCAAUCGAGCAGCACAGGGAAUUCGGUGACGUAUUUGGACAGCCACUGACAGAGCAAGCAGCAGACCCAAAAGAAACAACCAAGAUAAGUUUGGGUAUUUCUUAGCUGGAUUCUAGAUGCUCUUUUCCAAAUGACCAAGAUAUGUUUCACUAAAAUUGUAGGGUGCUCUAGUAGCUUUAGCUGGAUUAAAAGAAAAGUUAUAUAUGUA